CAGUAGCCACGGUAAUACGUAGGUGGCAAGCGUUGUCCGGAAUUAUUGGGCGUAAAGGGCUCGCAGGCGGUUUCUUAAGUCUGAUGUGAAAGCCCCCGGCUCAACCGGGGAGGGUCAUUGGAAACUGGGAAGCUUGAGUGCAGAAGAGGAGAGUGGAAUUCCACGUGUAGCGGUGAAAUGCGUAGAGAUGUGGAGGAACACCAGUGGCGAAGGCGACUCUCUGGUCCAUAACUGACGCUGAGGCACGAAAGCUAGGGGAGCAAACAGGAUUAGAUACCCCUGUAGUCCCUGUCUCUUAUAC
rnacentral:rRNA from 1 species